rnacentral:RNase_P_RNA from 1 species
UGAGGAGAUCGGGCAGUCGCGUGUACAUGUCGAAAGGCAGUACAUGAGGAAAGUCCGGGCUGCGUAGGGCGAGGGUAGCGGGUAACACCCGCCGAAGGCGACUUCAGGAAAAGUGCAACAGAAAUAUACCGCCAGAGAACACGGGCUUAGCUUGUGUCCUUUGGUAAGGGUGGAAAGGUGAGGUAAGAGCUCACCGGCCGGCUGGAGACAGCCCGGUCCUGUAAACUCUAUCCGCAGCAACACCGUGGAGGGAAAUAUGGCUUGCCCGGCCGUUCCCGUGGAGGUGGCUUGAGCCGGAUGGCAACGUUCGGCCUAGAUAGAUGACUGCCAAUGUUUAAUUCCCACAAGGGGAUUAAGCAGGUACAAAACCCGGCUUAUGUAUCUCUCUCAUACA